rnacentral:lncRNA from 1 species
GUCAGGAGUGGAAUCUACUGAGAAGCUUGAAAUAUUCAGUCUUUCUCACAUCAGCCAGAGUUUCAUCCUUAACUUUUUUUGCCAUGAGCUGAACAAUUUCCUCACAUAGUUUUUGACAAAUAAGAGGGAUUGCUUGAUCCAGAAUGUCCAUACCGAUAAGAGCAAGUAAAAAUGGAUCAAAUUUUGCCACUAGUUUUAAAAGACCAAGAUAAUUGCCAUUAUUCGGAGAUCCAAAGUGCUCAUUGUCUCUUCUGAAUUGUAAGCCUCGUUCUACUGGAGUGCAUAUUAACGGCAAUAAUUACCUCUAUGACAUGCCUCCAGUACUGCUGUUAGGCUUUUAUUUGUUCCUCUAAUAGAAAAAAAAAAUCACAGAACUGAGAAAUUGCACAAAACAAAAAGAUACUGUGAAAAUCCCUGAAACAAGAAGUAAUCGACUAGAAAUAUUAGCUGUGGAAAUAAACUAAAUAAUAAAAAUCAAAAAGCUUAAGGGGAAAAAAAUAGAAAAACCUAAAACUGAACAAAGCCUUAACAGGAUGCCGGCUACAAACCUCGUUUCACUGAACUAUUCAGUUUUCCUCAGAAGGAAAUCGAAAAAUCAUAAACUUUAAAUGACCAAAAUUCAAAAAAAAGGGAUAGAACCCCCUAAAAUUCUGAAGUAUUAUAAUCCUAGCUCAACCAAGGUAAAGCAAAGUGCAGUAAUAAAGGAUAGAGGACUCAAGUACAGUUUCUAAUACUGAAUUUACAAAAAAGAUUUGAAAAACCUAAAUGGCAAGUUUUAAACAAAGCCCAGCUUGAAGAAAGCAAAACACAGUAAUAAAGGGUUGAGGACUCAACUGUGAAAGUUCUAGUGCUGCUUUUACAAAAAGGUUUACAAACCUAAACGGCACAAAUUCAAAGAAAGGAAUACCAGAUAAGCUGUUUUAGAUUUUAAACAAACACUCCCAUGGUCUAGAUGUUCUGGCACCUCUCCUAUGAGGGUGACCUGUUGCAACAGAACAAUAAAAGAUCAGCCUUUCUUUCACUGGAGUCCACAGCUGAUUCUCUGAGCAAUAACAAACUUUGGGACUCUUGAGUCCCUUAAAAGGGGAAGCAAGCAAGCCAUUAAAGCCGUUAGCCUGCGUUCUUCCAAAUUCAGGAUUUUGGGGAAGGGGAUCCCUCCUAGUCAACCACAUGAGAGAUUCCAUACAGGGGAGAAACCAUAUGAAUGCUUGGGAAGAUGUCACCAAGGAACUGCACUUCACACACUGGCGGAAGAAGAGGCGUGUGGGGGGAGCGCAUUGCCCCCAGCAGCGCGAUCCCAUUGGGGUGCCAUCGUGGCUGCGCCCCCGGGACGUGCGCCAGCCCUGCCCCCGCCUGCUCUCCGCCCCCCGGUGCUGGAGCAUGAAGCUCUGCCGCUGACUUCACUCACACCCUGUGCUCCAAUUAUAAAUGUCAAAACAAAAAAACGUUCCUAAAUACAGAGUGGGCACACAUACAUAGGUACGAAAAACAUAGUCAGAAAAACGUUGCAGGAAAGCGAUCCUAAAGCCAUUUGGAUGCUUUUAAAUGACCCCCAAAUUUUCCUCUGCAGUCAAAGAAGGUAAAAGGGGAAGAAUUGUCAGUACGUCUUUCAACCGAUGUUAGCGACUGGGCUCAAUAACUGGUUCUGCCUGGAAUGGGCUAGGCGACUGGAGCACUUUGGGAGACCUUCCAAUCCUGGAAAGCAGGUCCCAGUGCAUUGGACCCACAACUGUGCAUUGUGAGCACCAGACUCAGCAGAGUAUAAAUAACGCACAAGCUAGCUGUGAAGGAUAAUUCCUUUUAUUUCUAAUAGCUACUACAAACUAAUGAACUCCUGGCUUGCAUGAGCGUUACAGCUCCCACUCAGCCAUCUAGUCACUACAUAGAUAAGACUCUCCACAUACAGAGGCAGGCAGUCAGUCAGGAAGGAGCGGAAGAGUAGCAGAGCAGUUUCCGCCCGCUCCUUUCUCAAAACAUCAGAUCAGGAGAUUCUUGCAAUGGGAAGGGGUGAAAAUAUCAACAAGAAUACUGUCAAAAAAUAGUUCUUUUCACCUGUGUUAAAUCCUGUUAAUAGAUACAGUGGUGCCUCGCAAGACGAAAUUAAUUCAUUCCGCGAGUUUUUUCGUCUAGCGAAUUUUUCGUCUUGCGAAGCACGGUUUCCCAUAGGAAUGCAUUGAAAUUCAAUUAAUGCGUUCCUAUGGUCAAAAAGUCCAAACAAAGCCAAAUUUGGUACAACAAGAGUUUAUUAACUGCUCUUUAAAGUCACACAUACUUUAAAGAGCAUAUCAAAAUUGAAGGAACAAUAAAUUAAGUUGCUAAACAUGACAGGAAAAACAUUUAAAAAUCCAAAAAGGGUACAUUACAUUUUCUAAGACUCUGGGGGACCACUCGAAGAAGGUUCCUCUUCCACUCUUUGCUUCUUGCUGAGGAACCUGUCCAUGGUCUGCUGCUUCAUCCGCCUUUUCAGCACCUCCCUGAGAGGCAACAUGACCGUUGUAUCAAAAGUGUUCGCUUCUCCCUCAUCUUCAGGAUGGUCCCGAUGGUCGAUGGGUUCCUGCCGUACUCCCUGGCGAGGUCCGUCACACGCAUUCCACCGUCGUGCUUCCGGAUGAUCUCCUUCAUCUCCAGCGUCACCUCCUUCCUCUCGCCGGCCUCCGCAGCAGCAGCAGUCUUCUUGGGUCCCAUGGCAGCACAGCUGUUGCCUUUGUAAACUCAGAAAAAAUCAGCAAUUCAAACCCAGAACCAAGUCCUUGAAUUCCAAACACCCCAAAAUCCAAAAACCCCCAAAAAAGUUUUAAAAGUUUAACUUACGAAAUGGCUGCAAAUCACCAAAGUCUUCAAAAUCCUCAAAUGGCUGCAAAAGAAGUUUUGGGAAAGCUUUAAAAAUCACUAAAGUAUUCAAAAACCUCAACUGUUCCCCCAGCCCCUCCCCAACUGUUGCAAACCCCUCCUCAACUGUUCCCCCAGCCACCCAGCACACAGAAAUUCAAAACCCAGAAAAUUUUUCAAAAAAAACCAACAUGGCCCAAUGGUCAC